AUUUGGGAACAUCUUGGUGGUUAGCAUUUCUUAUCAAGUGUAGACAAUUUUAAUCAGGAAGCCUAAAGGAGGUAUACACUUGUUCAUAGCAAAGUAGUUGAGAAAAGAAAAGAACAAGAAAAAGAGACAUAAUGAAGAUACGAUAGUAGAUGGGGAAGGAGGGAUUACCAAGAAUUGAAUUAAAAGAUAAAAUAAUUAGAAAAUAUGUACUUGAACUGUCCAGGUGUUUUUCUCUCCUGCAACAGAAAGGCAUUCUUGCCCAAACUCCUUGGACUUUGUAGUACACCAAUACAAAGCAGGACAGUGGGUGUUGAUAAAAGCCUGGAGAGAGGAAAAACUAACUCCAACCUGGGAAGGACUUUACAUCAUCUUGUUAACCACUGAGACAGCUAUCAGGACAGCUGAAAAAAGUUGGACCAUUACUCCCAAGUAAAAGGGCCUGUGCCAGCCCCAGAGGAGUGGAAGGUGGAAUCUCACCAAGGAGAUUCACUGAAGCUAAAGUUCCGAAGGACUUCAUGGACUAAUAGUCAAUCUUCCUGACAGAAAGGGGGGUAAUAGAGGAAAAAGAACUAAACUUUAUAUUUCUUUUACUAUCUAGAACCAAAGGAAAACCAAGACCUCCCGCAUGUGCUGAUUUUGUUUUGUCUUCUAUCUCAGUACAGGCCCAGGCUGCCUUACCACCUGUCUCUGGCCAUUGUUCCUGGAGAGUGGAUUCAGGUGAAAAGAACUGUCACCUAGAAAUACCAGUCCUGAGUGGUCUCAAUCAUGCCAAGUCCUCCUGAUUUAAGGAAUCAAGGCGUGAGUCCAUGGAAAGUCCCAUCAUAUCCUCUCCAGUGACAAACUCUGCAGCUGGAUGGCCUGAAAAUGAAAUUUCAACCUGCCUUACCUGUUGAAUUGUUUCCAUCUAAGUGGGAGAAAAACUUCAAUGGAUUGGACGUGUUCCUAGAACCUAGACUAUGUGUUGAAAAGUUUUUCUUCUGCUACUGUUGUUUCCUUAGUACUUUCUUUAGUAGAAGGAAGGACCUUGGGCCCAAUACUUUAAGGAACAUUGGGGAAAGAAGACUCAGAAUAUGAAAACUUGCUUGCACAGGAAUCUAAAGAAAAUAUAGGAAGUUAUGAACUGUUAAAAGUAUAAAAGAAUAAAUUCAGGUGGAAAAGGAAAAGGGGGGAUUGAAGGAAAUAAAAAUUAAGGAAAUAAAAGUUAUUCUUUUAAUAAUUGUAGAAAUAAUUGUAGAAAUGUAAUGCCAUUAUAUGAAACUGUCUCUUUAGUACUAAUGUAAUGCUGUAACACAAAUGUAACAAUGCAAUGCCAAUAUAUGACCAAAUGUUUACUAUAUCCUGCCUAAAAAUCUCCCUGACAUAGGAAAUUACACUUUGAGUGGAAAUCCUACUAUCAAAGAAGGGGAUUUUAACCCAAAGUGAGACUUCCAGAUAAACAAGAUAACAGCAGAUGGACGGAAGAGGUCAGGUUAACAAAGUACCACUUCAGAGAAAACCAUUAAGAUGAAAGAGAUGUGACAAUGCAUUGUAGGGCUAUAAAAUGCAAAACCUGAAACCAGGCCAGUGUGCUCCUGGAAUCCAAUCCAUAGGGAAGGAUCCAGGGGGCCGCGUUUGCAAACGCUCCUCUCUUCUAUUCUUUCUCUUUUCUCUUUUAUUCUGUUUCUGUUAUUCUCCAAUAAACCUUUGUUUUGUUAA